CUGUUGUGCUUUGUACGUUUAUGCCUUGAUAAUGCAGCAUAUGUUAAUCUGACUUUGCCUUUCUCUGCUUGGUCUCACAUUUAUUUUCUGUCAUGUGACUUUUUCCUAUAAACAGAGUUGAUGCCAGGCUGGCUCUGAAUUCAGAAUGGGUUGCAAGUGUUUGUUGGCUCGGUGUAAGAAUUUGACAGGUUUGCACUGGUUCCCCCGAGAUGCUGACAAAGCUAGAUUGUGGCUGCAGGCGGUGGGUUCUCCAUCAGCUCCUGACACAUCACGAUUGUUUGUGUGUAACAAACGUUUUUCGCAGGAGAACUUUUACAGACACGAAGACAUUGGCAUUGCUCAUGGAGGUAAUCUCCAAAGAGAAGACGCUGAACGAAGUCCAAAAUAUCUUUCCAUCCCCACAGGACAGCCGUUUCACUUUAGCUGCUGGCUAGAAAUACUGGAAUUUUGCCCAGUUACUGCAAAUAAAGGAGGAAGUCUAAAUAUGGUCAUCGGUGAGAUGAAUUUAUCGUGAUGUCACACAACAUGCAGCAGUCAAGCUUCCGGGUUCUUCACACAGUCAGAUUAAACAUGUCUAUUAAGAGCAAAUGCACUUUUAAUUAAAGCUAUAGUUAUGUUACGCAUAUAAUUGUAACUUUUUUUUUUGUUUUGUUUACUAAAUGUUACUAGAAUGUGAUGCCUAUGUUUUAUAGUGAAGAAAUGCACAUCGUUUUUGAAAAAUAUCUUGAAAAAAAAUUCAAGUUAUAUACUGUUGGAAAUGUAGCAGAACAUUGAAUGUGAUUUUAUUUAUGAUUUAGGAAAGUGUUAAAAUGGCAGUAGUUUCAAAUUUGCUUCAUCAAGCAAUGUUUAGAAAUAGCCUUGUUGUGUUUAGAAAUUUCACUAGAAUCAUCUGACA